UACGUAGGGUGCAAGCGUUGUCCGGAAUUAUUGGGCGUAAAGAGCUCGUAGGCGGUCUGUCACGUCGGCUGUGAAAACCCGAGGCUCAACCCCGAGCCUGCAGUCGAUACGGGCAGACUAGAGUGCUGUAGGGGAGACUGGAAUUCCUGGUGUAGCGGUGAAAUGCGCGAGAUAUCAGGAGGACACCGGUGGCGAAGGCGGGUCUCUGGGCAGUAACUGACGCUGAGGAGCGAAAGCGUGGGAGCGAACAGG
rnacentral:rRNA from 1 species